rnacentral:rRNA from 1 species
UACGUAGGGUGCAAGCGUUGUCCGGAAUUACUGGGCGUAAAGGGCUCGUAGGCGGCCAACUAAGUCGGAUGUGAAAUCCCCAGGCUCAACCUGGGAACUGCAUCCGAUACUGGAUGGCUUGAAUUCGGGAGAGGGAUGCAGAAUUCCAGGUGUAGCGGUGAAAUGCGUAGAUAUCGGGAAGAACACCCGUGGCGAAGGCGGUUCUCUGGGACGGUACUGACGCUGAGACGCGAAAGCGUGGGGAGCGAACAGG